CCCUUAGAUGUUCUGGGCCGCACGCGCGCUACACUGAUGCAUUCAACGAGUCUAAAACCUGCUCUGAUAGGGGUGGGUAAUCUUUUGAAUGUGCAUCGUGAUUGGGAUAGAUGAUUGCAAUUUUUCAUCUUCAACGAGGAAUGCCUAGUAAACGCAAGUCAUCAGCUUGCACUGAUUACGUCCCUGCCCUUUGUACACACCGCCCGUCGCUCCUACCGAUUGAAUGAUCCGAUGAAUAUCAUGGAUUGAGGAUGCAAGCAGGUUCGCCUGUCUUCAUCUUCGAGAAGUGAAGUAAAUCUUAUCAUUUAGAGGAAGGAGAAGUCGUAACA
rnacentral:rRNA from 1 species